rnacentral:rRNA from 1 species
AGAGUUUGAUCCUGGCUCAGAACGAACGCUGGCGGCAGGCUUAACACAUGCAAGUCGAACGCCCCGCAAGGGGAGUGGCAGACGGGUGAGUAACGCGUGGGAAUGUGCCCCAAGGUACGGAACAACAGCGGGAAACUGCUGCUAAUACCGUAUGUGACCGAGAGGUGAAAGAUUUAUCGCCUUGGGAUCAGCCCGCGUUAGAUUAGGUAGUUGGCGGGGUAAUGGCCCACCAAGCCUACGAUCUAUAGCUGGUCUGAGAGGAUGAUCAGCCACACUGGGACUGAGACACGGCCCAGACUCCUACGGGAGGCAGCAGUGGGGAAUCUUGGACAAUGGGCGCAAGCCUGAUCCAGCCAUGCCGCGUGAAUGAUGAAGGCCUUAGGGUUGUAAAGUUCUUUCGUCGGGGACGAUAAUGACGGUACCCGAAGAAGAAGCCCCGGCUAACUUCGUGCCAGCAGCCGCGGUAAUACGAAGGGGGCUAGCGUUGUUCGGAAUUACUGGGCGUAAAGCGCGUGUAGGCGGAUUUUUAAGUCGGGGGUGAAAUCCCAGAGCUCAACUCUGGAACUGCCUUCGAUACUGGGAAUCUGGACCCAAGUAGAGGCGAGUGGAAUUGCGAGUGUAGAGGUGAAAUUCGUAGAUAUUCGCAGGAACACCAGUGGCGAAGGCGACUCGCUGGACUUGUGGUGACGCUGAGACGCGAAAGCGUGGGUAGCAAACAGGAUUAGAUACCCUGGUAGUCCACGCCGUAAACGAUGAGAGCUAGUUGUCAGUAAGCAUGCUUAUUGGUGACGCAGCUAACGCAUUAAGCUCUCCGCCUGGGAGACGGCCAAG